UCCAUGUGGUGGUAACACCGCGGAAGAUUUAGUGGCGAACGGGUGAGGAACACGUGAGGAACCUGCCCCAAACUUUGGGAUAACAGUUGGAAACGACUGCUAAUACCAGAUGCCGUUACUUUGUCGCAUGGCGAGGUAACGAAAGUUUUUCGGUUUGGGAGGGCCUCGCGGCCUAUCAGCUUGUUGGUGAGGUAAUGGCUCACCAAGGCAACGACGGGUAGCUGGUCUGGGAGGAUGAUCAGCCACACUGGGACUGAGACACGGCCCAGACUCCUACGGGAGGCAGCAGUGGGGAAUCUUGCGCAAUGGGCGAAAGCCUGACGCAGCAACGCCGCGUGCGGGAAGAAGGCCUUAGGGUUGUAACCGCUUUCAGCAGGGAAGAAAAUGACUGUACCUGCAGAAGAAGGUGCGGCCAACUACGUGCCAGCAGCCGCGGUGACACGUAGGCACCAAGCGUUGUCCGGAUUUAUUGGGCGUAAAGAGCUCGU
rnacentral:rRNA from 1 species